GCCCAGAUGGCGAAAUUGGUAGACGCGCAUGGUUCAGGUCCAUGUGUCUUUAGUGACAUGGAGGUUCAAGUCCUCUUCUGGGCACCA
rnacentral:tRNA from 1 species